CGGCGAGCGGCGAGCGUCCACCUCGUGGGCCGAGUGCACAGCGCCGCGCUGGCAGAACCUCUCAGGAGAAGUCAAACACGCCAGAGACAGACAGUCACGCUGAUGGCAGCCACGGAGGAUUUACCACUGCUGCAUAUCUAAAAAGGGCUAAACUAGGGAAUAAAGCAGCUGAGGAAAUGGAUGCCUGUGGUCUGGUCCGAGGGCCUUACACCGGACAGGCGCAGGGCCCCCGACGAGGUGGUUCCCACCGGCACACACAAAAUGGCGGUGCAGAGCUGAACUGGAAACCAUGGCAACACAGUGCUUGCCUCUCUAAUCCCUCGGCCCUGCGUAGACGAAUACCUGCGCGGGCACCGGCCUAUUCAACACCUGCAUGAAAGAAAACCUUC
ensembl:lncRNA